rnacentral:piRNA from 1 species
UAUAAAUUUCUGCAAUUAAAA